AUGCUUGUCUCAAAGAUUAAGCCAUGCAUGUCUAAGAAUAAGCCCCAGAAUGGUGAAUCUGCGAAUGGCUCAUUAAAUCAGUUAUUGUUUAUUUGAUGGUACCUUACUACAUGGAUAACCGUAGUAAUUCUAGAGCUAAUACAUGCGUCAAGCCCCGACUUUCCGAAGGGGUGCAUUUAUUAGAUUCAAACCAUCAGCCCUUAGGGGUCUCGGCCUCUUUGGGCUUUUUGAUGGCGAGUCAUAAUAACUGAGCGAAUCGAAUGACUUUACGUCGUCGAUGCUUCAUUCAAAUUUCUGCCCUAUCAGCUUUCGAUGGUAGGAUCUUGGCCUACCAUGGCUACAACGGGUAACGGGGAAUA
rnacentral:rRNA from 1 species